GCCACGUCAACGAGCAUCGACAGAAGUGCGCCCAUAGAAAUAGGUCUGCAAAGCCGGACACAAGUCAGAAGAGAAGCUGAUGAGGCAUCUUCUGAAGCCAAAAAAAACAAGAGUUGAGGAUGAGGAAUGUGUGUGUCUGGCUGCCCGUCUAGAGGACCAUAAAGAAGGCAAUGUGCAAAGCUGGUGAUGUGUAACCUGACUUACAUUGGAAUUGCCAUCUCAGACACAGAAGACCGGGGUUUGCUGACCAUCUCUGGCUUCAACCUUGGAGUUUUAGUGUCAUUUGUAAUUUGGCUGAUCUGAUAAGAUUUCUGGGACUUUUCCUGAGUAAUGUAAUGAGUGUAGAAUAUGAAGGCCAAUUCAACAUUUGUAGCAAGAGGUUGGCAGGUUAAGGGGAACAAUGCAUGAGUCACAGUUAUAGGGUGUUUGCAGAUGUAGGUUUACUUCGGGGGGAUUACCUGUAGUCUUCAACAUGCAUCUAUGGUAUGAGUUAGCAAGUUUAAUGUAGAGAUACUUAACAUCAAUGAAAGAGAAACCUGAAACAAAGCACACAAAGUCAAUGGUAAAACUUGGAGUUGCUUUUUAUUGUGUUAAUUUCACAGAUUUCUUAGAUCAGAAAAGUUUUUUCAAGUAUUAACAUCUUGGAUUCCUUUUACACAGUCUUUGCUUUAGCUUAGCCACAAAUUUUAGUUGUUCUAACAUUUGUUUGACCCUAAGCCCAGUUUAUUGUUUUAAAGCUGAGUUUUCUGUUUUCUUCUCGUGAGGUUAUACUUUAAAAGAAAUGUGGUGACACUUUUUAUAAAGUAAAUUUGGAUUCAGUUUUAACAACACACUAAUGCCAAUUUUGGGAUUUUUUUUGUGUGUGUGUGUGAAAAGUUUGUGUUUCAGUCUGAAUUCUAUGCAUCAGAAUUUACAUUUUACUGUAAUAAAGUACUGUAAUAAGCUUUACUUAUCACGGUGUCAUUUCGUCUUCAUAAACAAAAGAACAAUAAACUGACCAUGUAACUGUGAAGGAUGUUUGUCCCAACAUGCUGAUGUUUUCAUUUUUAAUUUUAAAGCAACAUCCAACAUAUAAAAUAUUUAUAACAUGACUGUUGACACAGCGUUUUAGGAGAUGGACAUGAGAUUUGGUAGUUCUCAAGUGUUUCACAACCAUUCUGUUGUAUCUGUCCUGCUUAACAUGUACCUACUGUAGCGGCGAUGUGAAGCCCUUCCUAAUAAACAACUUGCUGCUCUGGAAA